rnacentral:rRNA from 1 species
GACGAACCGUGCAAAAGUUAUUCGGGAUCACUGGGCUUAAAGGGCCAGUAGGCGGCUUUCCAAGUCGGUGGUGAAAUCUUUCGGCUUAACCGGAAAAGUGCCUUCGAUACUGGAAGUCUUGAGUAUGGUAGAGGCAGAAGGAACUUCCAGUGUAGCGGUGAAAUGUGUUGAUAUAGGAAUGAACGCCGGUGGCGAAAGCGCUCUGCUGGAUCAUCACUGACGCUGAGGCGCGAAAGCUAGGGGAGCAAACGGG